UACGAAAUGGGCUAGCGUUGUUCGGGAUUACUGGGCGUAAAGCGCACGUAGGCGGCACUGUAAGUUGGGGGUGAAAUCCCGAAGCUCAACUCCGGAACUGCCAUGAAGACUGCAGAGCUGGAGGAAGCGAGAGGUGGGUGGAAUUCCGAGUGUAGAGGUGAAAUUCGUAGAUAUUCGGAAGAACACCAGUGGCGAAGGCGGCUCAGUGGCGCAUUUCUGACGCUGAGGUGCGAAAGCGUGGGGAGCAAACAGG
rnacentral:rRNA from 1 species